CAAGUCGAACGGAUCCAUAUUGAAACCUAGUGAUGUAUGGAUUAGUGGCGGACGGGUGAGUAACGCGUGGAUAACCUGCCGUAUACAGGGGGAUAACACUUAGAAAUAGGUGCUAAUACCGCAUAAGCGCACGGUUCCGCAUGGAACAGUGUGAAAAACUCCGGUGGUAUACGAUGGAUCCGCGUCUGAUUAGCUAGUUGGCGGGGUAACGGCCCACCAAGGCAGCGAUCAGUAGCCGGCCUGAGAGGGUGGACGGCCACAUUGGGACUGAGACACGGCCCAAACUCCUACGGGAGGCAGCAGUGGGGAAUAUUGCACAAUGGGGGAAACCCUGAUGCAGCGACGCCGCGUGAGUGAAGAAGUAUCUCGGUACGUAAAGCUCUAUCAGCAGGGAAGAAAAUGACGGUACCUGACCAAGAAGCCCCGGCUAACUACGUGCCAGCAGCCGCGGUAAUACGUAGGGGGCAAGCGUUAUCCGGAUUUACUGGGUGUAAAGGGAGCGUAGACGGCAGCACAAGUCUGGAGUGAAAUCCCGGGGCUUAACCCCGGAACUGCUUUGGAAACUGUGCGGCUGGAGUGCAGGAGGGGUAAGCGGAAUUCUUAGUGUAGCGGUGAAAUGCGUAGAUAUUAGGAGGAACACCGGUGGCGAAGGCGGCUUACUGGACUGUAACUGACGUUGAGGCUCGAAAGCGUGGGGAGCAAACAGGAUUAGAUACCCUGGUAGUCCACGCCGUAAACGAUGAUUACUAGGUGUCGGGGGACCAAGGUCCUCCGGUGCCGGCGCAAACGCAU
rnacentral:rRNA from 1 species